UACGUAGGGGGCUAGCGUUGUCCGGAAUCAUUGGGCGUAAAGCGCGUGUAGGCGGUCCGGUAAGUCCGCUGUGAAAGUCGGGGGCUCAACCCUCGGAUGCCGGUGGAUACUGUCGGGCUAGAGUGCGGGAGAGGCGAGUGGAAUUCCUGGUGUAGCGGUGAAAUGCGUAGAGAUCGGGAGGAACACCAGUGGCGAAGGCGGCUCGCUGGGCCGGUCCUGACACUGAGACGCGACAGCAUGGGGAGCAAACGGG
rnacentral:rRNA from 1 species